rnacentral:rRNA from 1 species
CAGUAGCCGCGGUAAAACGGAGGGGGCUAGCGUUGUUCGGAAUUACUGGGCGUAAAGCGCACGUAGGCGGCUUUGUAAGUUAGAGGUGAAAGCCUGGAGCUCAACUCCAGAAUUGCCUUUAAGACUGCAUCGCUUGAACGUCGGAGAGGUGAGUGGAAUUCCGAGUGUAGAGGUGAAAUUCGUAGAUAUUCGGAAGAACACCAGUGGCGAAGGCGGCUCACUGGACGACUGUUGACGCUGAGGUGCGAAAGCGUGGGGAGCAAACAGGAUUAGAUACCCGAGUAGUCCCUGUCUCUUAUAC